GGCCUAUUGAGUAUAAUUUUAGGUCGAUCUGCUCCAUGAAAUAAAUUUAAAUAGCUGCAGUAUAUUGACUGUACAAAGGUAGCAUAAUAAAUUGUCUUUUAAUUGAAGAAUUGAAUGAAUGAAUUGAUGAAAUAACAACUGUCUCUAUUUUAUUUAAUGAAUUUAAAUUUUUAGUAAAAAUUCUGAAAUUUAAUUAUGGGACGAUAAGACCCUAUAGAAUUUUAUUUAAUAUAAUUAUUUAUUUAAAUUAUUUGUGAAUAUAUAAUUAAUUUAAAUUUGAUUGGGAGGAUUGGUAAAUAAAAAUAACUUUAUCUAAAAAUUAAUUUUGAUGAAAAGAUUUUUUUUGACGUAUAAUUUAUGAUUAAAAGAAUAAAUUACCUUAGGGAUAACAGCGUAAUAUCUUUUGAUAGACCACAUUGAUAAAGAUGUUUGCGACCUCGAUGUUGAAUUAAGAGAAAAGUUAAACGCAGGAGUUUAAAAUUUUAAGUCUGUUCGACUUUUAAAAUCUU
rnacentral:rRNA from 1 species